rnacentral:rRNA from 1 species
UGGGGAAUAUUGCACAAUGGGCGCAAGCCUGAUGCAGCCAUGCCGCGUGUGUGAAGAAGGCCUUCGGGUUGUAAAGCACUUUCNGCGAGGAGGAAGGUGGUGAACUUAAUACGUUCAUCAAUUGACGUUACUCGCAGAAGAAGCACCGGCUAACUCCGUGCCAGCAGCCGCGGUAAUACGGAGGGUGCAAGCGUUAAUCGGAAUUACUGGGCGUAAAGCGCACGCAGGCGGUUUGUUAAGUCAGAUGUGAAAUCCCCGGGCUCAACCUGGGAACUGCAUUUGAAACUGGCAAGCUAGAGUCUCGUAGAGGGGGGUAGAAUUCCAGGUGUAGCGGUGAAAUGCGUAGAGAUCUGGNGGAAUACCGGUGGCGAAGGCGGCCCCCUGGACGAAGACUGACGCUCAGGUGCGAAAAGCGUGGGGAGCAAACAGGUUAGAUACCCUGGUAGUCCACGCUGUAAACGAUGUCGAUUUUGGAGGUUGUGCCCUUGAGGCGUGGCUUCCGGAGCUAACGCGUUAAA